rnacentral:rRNA from 1 species
CAGUCGCCGCGGGAAUACGUAGGGUGCAAGCGUUAAUCGGAAUUACUGGGCGUAAAGCGUGCGCAGGCGGUUAUGUAAGACAGAUGUGAAAUCCCCGGGCUUAACCUGGGAACUGCAUUUGUGACUGCAUAGCUAGAGUACGGUAGAGGGGGAUGGAAUUCCGCGUGUAGCAGUGAAAUGCGUAGAUAUGCGGAGGAACACCGAUGGCGAAGGCAAUCCCCUGGACCUGUACUGACGCUCAUGCACGAAAGCGUGGGGAGCAAACAGGAUUAGAUACCCGAGUAGUCCCUGUCUCUUAUAC